CUUUUUUUUUGCUGUUUAUUUUUAUUUCAAAGUUGUGACAUUUUUUUUCUAUCUAGAGAAAUAAUUCGUAUUGUAAUUUAUACUACGUAGGAUAAUAGAUUACACAAAUAGCAUUGAUCUAUAUAAAGCCGAUUAUUAUGCACAUACAUGUCCUAAGAAGUAUCGCCACGUUCGUUGCACUUUUAAUACGUAUCAAUUUACAGAGACAUAUUUGCAUUAUAACACAAAAUUUAGUGCAAAUAUAAAAAAAAAUUUUUAUCAUAUCGAUUUUGUUGAUGAUAUAUUUUCGAAAAAUAUCGAUUAUUCUUUUUUGAAGAACGAACGAUGCAAACGAUGUCUCGAAAAGUGAAAGUUCCAUUAAUAUGAUUCUUGAUACUUUUUUUUUAUUAUAAAAUGCACCGACAUAUAUACAUAUAACCUAUUCAUACAUUAUGCGUGCUAAUAAUACCUCUGAUGAUAAUAACUAUAUAGUGUAAUAAUGAUAAUUUAUUCGGGAAACGAUUUAUCAUGACAAAGUUCGAACCUGAUGUGAUAACAUCAUAGUGCAUUUAUAGUGCACUUAUAGCGGAUUAAUGGCGCAUUUACAGUGUAGUUAUUUUCUUCAAGAUAAAUUGAGGACAAAUUAAUCGAUAGGAUGGUAUGAUCUAACUUUCGAGGAAAAAAAAUCGAUCAAACUUAUACGAGAUAAAAAAGCGAUUAAGAAAGAAACACGACCGUCCCGUUCGUCUUCGUUGGGUUAGGUAUAAAACGUGCGAGAGAGAGAGGGAGAGGGAGAGAGAGAGAAAGAGAGAGAGAGAGAGAGAGAAUUACUACGUCAUUCCGGAAUUUUCGAAAGUUUUGUCGAACCGGUUUCCAAGUGCCACAUAUACGGAUACAUAAUUUCGUGUCGCGUUCCAGGCGUGCAUCUACAAUCUUCAAAUCCUCGCUAUCAAAAGCUCUCACCUUCGUUGGAGGAACAUAACGAAUAAAGCAUGACAAUGAGCUAUGAAGUGUUGUAGGUUAGUGAGAGAACAAUAGUCGCCCUAACCUGCUAAUGGGCCACAUGUGUAUGCCGUACGCAUUACAUAGAGAUACGUAAAAAUAUUUUCGGCGAUGUAUAUGCGCCUUGAAUAAAAAUUAAUCCUCCUGCUGGCAUUGUUCGAUUCGACUCUCGUUCCUGUCGUGACUAAAUUUCAUAUCGGUUCCUCUUAUCAGACGACCUCUCUUCUACUUCCACACCUCCCUCCCCUCUUCCUUUCAUUCCCCCCCUCUCUCUACACACACACACACACACACACAUUCAUGAGAUCGGCACGUGUUGCAUUCUCUAUCACGAGUGCUAAUUCAUGUAUUAUAUCGUUUGAAUUUGUUGAUACUUUUAUAAAUAUGCUCUAGUUAAAAAUAAAGAAAGAAAAGGAAAAGAAAAACAAGCAUACGUACAAACAU